rnacentral:rRNA from 1 species
AACGAACGCUGGCGGCAGGCCUAACACAUGCAAGUCGAGCGAGGUAGCAAUACCUAGCGGCGGACAGGUGAGUAACGCGUGGGAACGUGCCCUUUGCUACGGAAUAGCCUCGGGAAACUGGGAGUAAUACCGUAUGUGCCCUUCGGGGGACAGAUUUAUCGGCAAAGGAUCGGCCCGCGUUGGAUUAGGUAGUUGGUGAGGUAAUGGCUCACCACGCCGACGAUCCAUAGCUGGUUUGAGAGGAUGAUCAGCCACACUGGGACUGAGACACGGCCCAGACUCCUACGGGAGGCAGCAGUGGGGAAUCUUAGACAAUGGGCGCAAGCCUGAUCUAGCCAUGCCGCGUGAGCGAUGAAGGCCUUAGGGUUGUAAAGCUCUUUCAGUGGGGAAGAUAAUGACUGUACCCACAGAAGAAGCCCCGGUUAACUCCGUGCCAGCAGCCGCCGUAA